rnacentral:rRNA from 1 species
AGCCGAGCGGUAGAGAUUCUUCGGAAUCUUGAGAGCGGCGCACGGGUGCGGAACACGUGUGCAACCUACCUUUAUCAGGGGGAUAGCCUUUCGAAAGGAAGAUUAAUACCCCAUAAUAUAUUGAAUGGCAUCAUUCGAUAUUGAAAACUCCGGUGGAUAGAGAUGGGCACGCGCAAGAUUAGAUAGUUGGUGAGGUAACGGCUCACCAAGUCAAUGAUCUUUAGGGGGCCUGAGAGGGUGAUCCCCCACACUGGUACUGAGACACGGACCAGACUCCUACGGGAGGCAGCAGUGAGGAAUAUUGGACAAUGGGUGAGAGCCUGAUCCAGCCAUCCCGCGUGAAGGACGACGGCCCUAUGGGUUGUAAACUUCUUUUGUAUAGGGAUAAACCUUUCCACGUGUGGAAAGCUGAAGGUACUAUACGAAUAAGCACCGGCUAACUCCGUGCCAGCAGCCGCGGUAAUACGGAGGGUGCAAGCGUUAUCCGGAUUUAUUGGGUUUAAAGGGUCCGUAGGCGGACUCGUAAGUCAGUGGUGAAAUCUCAUAGCUUAACUAUGAAACUGCCAUUGAUACUGCGGGUCUUGAGUAAGGUAGAGGUAGCUGGAAUAAGUAGUGUAGCGGUGAAAUGCAUAGAUAUUACUUAGAACACCAAUUGCGAAGGCAGGUUACCAUGUCUUAACUGACGCUGAUGGACGAAAGCGUGGGGAGCGAACAGGAUUAGAUACCCUGGUAGUCCACGCCGUAAACGAUGCUAACUCGUUUUUGGGGCUUUAAGCUUCAGAGACUAAGCGAAAGUGAUAAGUUAGCCACCUGGGGAGUACGAACGCAAGUUUGAAACUCAAAGGAAUUGACGGGGGCCCGCACAAGCGGUGGAUUAUGUGGUUUAAUUCGAUGAUACGCGAGGAACCUUACCAAGGCUUAAAUGGGAAUUGAUCGGUUUAGAAAUAGACCUUCCUUCGGGCAAUUUUCAAGGUGCUGCAUGGUUGUCGUCAGCUCGUGCCGUGAGGUGUUAGGUUAAGUCCUGCAACGAGCGCAACCCCUGUCACUAGUUGCUAACAUUCAGUUGAGGACUCUAGUGAGACUGCCUACGCAAGUAGAGAGGAAGGUGGGGAUGACGUCAAAUCAUCACGGCCCUUACGCCUUGGGCCACACACGUAAUACAAUGGCCGGUACAGAGGGCAGCUACACAGCGAUGUGAUGCAAAUCUCGAAAGCCGGUCUCAGUUCGGAUUGGAGUCUGCAACUCGACUCUAUGAAG